rnacentral:lncRNA from 1 species
GGGUCAAAACUGGUCAAAACGCUUUCUAGAUUCUGUUCCUCUAAGAGAUAUAAGAGAAAAUGGACGUUGGCAAUGUUUUAAGUUUCAAACCCUGAAGGCCGUAUCCAGAUUGCAUAGUCGCGAUGCGGAUGCGAUGAGCAAAUUGCAUUCGUGACUCAACUCUACAAGCCAUUCGCUGAGUGUUUGGGUCCGGGGUCCACAAGCUGGCCAUUUUUCGCUGCUCUCAUACGACGUGUCACUAUUAUUGACAGAACGUCAUCAAUGCCACAGGCAAGAAAUUGGUAAAAAAUUGAGAUCAAGUUGAAAAGGCUGAGCAGCAAAUUCAAGACAUUGGAUCUCACCUGUGCCCAGUCUGAGCAGUUCAACAUGGUUCAACCCCAGACCUCCAGUAGAUAGGUUGUGCCCAAUACGAUGACAUUUGAAGUGUCUUCCCAAUGCUGUUUGCUACCUUACAACCGGUUGUAUGUAUUAUCGAAUUGUUUGAAGGUUUGGUUAUGACUGAGAGGAUGCAGCUUAUGUAUUGAAAGUUCGUCGGUGUCUCUACAUCAACGUGGACCAUCUUUUAAUUUUGUUGGUUACAUUAUUCGUUUCAAGAAUGGAUGCAUCUGGUGUCAGUUGCCAGUGGCCACUAGCUAAGUCGCAACGCAUCCAAACGUGGCUUUCAUAUCUUAAGGCAUCCCGUCAUUUGUUGUCGAAAUGCUGUUCGAAGAAAUCAAGCAGACCCAUCCCCAGCCACGUCAACCUGAAGAAGGAAAGGACAGUUGGCAUUUUCUUCACACUCGAAGGUCGCGGAUAUCAUAAGUCAUAACGUAAAACGUGUCAUGCCACGGGGUAGAGGUUGGGUGAGAGAGCAGAAAGACCCAUCCCCAGCCACGUCAACCUGAAGAAGGAAAAGGCCAGUUUUUUGGCAUUUUCUUCACACUCGAAGGUCGCGGAGAUCAUAACGUAAUACGUAUCAUGCAACGGCGGAGAGGUUGGGUGAGAAAGUUUCUUAAAAGGUGAUAAAAGGCGAAAUAAUUAGUCGAGUGAUUAUCUCUGACUUGACGACAGCUGCCGUGCACUAUUUGUCCCCAACUGCAUUCUUCAUUUUAUGAAGGGUGUUUAGUAAACUGUGGCGUCGUGCUGAGGCUUUAGAAUACUACACUGCAACUUAUGCUGCCCCGAGCUGCUUAACCAAAGAGCCUGAGUACUGCAUCGUGAUUCCAUUCGUUUUAAGCCAUAACCAUUUGGUAUUAAUUUGAUAUUGUUUGUUUUACACCCAUCCACGGCAACGUCAACCUGCAGAAGGAAGAGGCCAGUUUGCAUUUCCUUCACUUUCGAAGGUCACGGAGAUCAUUACGUAAAACUGUCAAUGCGGUGGUGUAGAGGUUGGGUGAGAACGGGAAGUGUUUGCUUUGCUUUAUUAUCAAGCAAGUAUAAUAGCCGCAGGCCUUAAGAGAGGGGUCAGGGUGAGAAAAAGUCGUUUAAAUGGCAAGAGGAAAAGCCACGGAACUCAGUCGAGUGAGGAUCUCCGACACGGCAACAACUGCUGCGCCAUAUGUGUCACCAACUACCUUCUUCGUCACAUUGCCAGUUCGCAAUCAUGGUUUAGUUAACUAUGGCGCAGUGCUGAUGUUUGGUGUUGUAUCGUUAAUGAUUAAGGCACUACACUGACGUCCUGAAGUAUUACUCUGCCCCGAGUUACUACACCACCAAGGGCCAAGGCGACGGAGCAUGACUACGCAUGCUGCCCUAUCCUACUACACCGAGGCCCCCAACUGCUACACCGAGGCUCCCGCUGAUUACUCCACCAAAACGGUCGAAUACUACAUCGAAGCGGUUAAGUACUACUCGGCCCCGAUUUACACAACCAAAACUGAGGCGGCCAAGUAUUACGCUGUCCCGACGUACUACAGAGAAGCUGCUCUUUCGUGCUACGUUGAACAGAAAUACUACACUUAUGCUCCAGUUCACUACACUACGAUCACGCUACACCGCAGCCCCCAGGUACUACACCGAAGAAGCCGCCUAUUAUACAACAACGUAUGCUGCCUAGUUUAUUACACCGAGAAUCCCAAGUACUACAUCACUAAGGCACCGGAAUUCUACACGUCUAUGUAUGCUGCCCUUGCCUACUACACCGAGGCCCCAAGUAUUACUGUGCGUAAAAGGAGUCGUCUAAAAAAAAAGUCAUCCCCGAACUGCAGUGUGCCCUAUCUGUCACCAACUGCAUUCCUCAUCGUGUAACCGAUUCGCAAUUCUGGUCAACUAUGGCGUCGUGCUCCUGUUGGGUGUUGUAUCGUUGAUGGCUGGAUCGAACGCAGGUGUAGUGAUGUCUUCUUGAUAUGGCGGAUAUCAAACCGCAACGCCGCCGCCUUCCUACACAACUUACGCAACGAUCAGUUUCUGCACCAACGUCUUCAAGUACUACGCCACUAAAGCACCGGAGUUUUAUACCAUGCACAACUUAUGCUGUCCCGAGCCACUACACUGACACCCCGAAGUAUUACUCUGCCCCGAGUUACUACACCACCAAGGCGACCGAGUACUACAUGACAAGGCAUGCUGCCCCAUCCUACUACACCGAGGCUCCCAAGUAUUACUCUGUUCUCGGCUGAUAACUUCACCAAAAUGGUCGAAUACUACACCGAAGCGGCAAAGUACUUCUCUGCCCCGAGGUACUCAACCAGAACUGAGGCGGCCAAUUAUUAUGCAGUCUCGAUUUAAAACCCAGAAGCUGCUCUUUCGUGCUACGUUGAACAGAAAUACUACACUGAUGCUCCAGUCUUCUACACCACGACCUACGCUAUGUGCCACCAACUACCUUCUUCAUCGCAUUAUCAGUUCGCAAUCAUGGUUUAGUUAACAAUGGCGCAGUGUUGCUGUUUGGUGUUGAAUCGUUAAUGGUUGGGUCGACCACGGGUGUACAUAUGUCUCCUGGACAUGGUAGAUACCAAGCAACGGCAGCGAAGGAAUAAUAAACCACGCCGUCGCCUUACUACGAAACGAAGUCCACACAAGCAACGUCUACUUACUACGCCGAGGCCUUCAAGUGCUACACCACUAAGGCUCUAGAGUUACGCGACAAAUUAUGCUGCCCCGAGUUACAUCACCAAAGCGCCUGAGUACUACACCACCGAGUACACUGUCCCAGCCUACUACACCGAGGUUUCAGCUUAUUUCAAUGCCGAAGCGGUCGAGUACUACACCGAACCGUACAAGUACUACUCUGCACCGAAGUACACAACCACAACUGAGGCGGCCAAGAACUACGUAGCCCAGACUUGCAACACAGCAGCUGCUCCUUCGUACUGCGUUGAACUGCAAUAAUACACCGAGGCUUCAGUUUACAACAGCAUAACCCACGCUACACCUAGAUACGAAGACCCCAACUACUAUACCCAAGAGGUCACACCACGUACACUGCCCCAUUUUACUACACUGAGGAACCCAAGUAUUACUUUGCUCCAAGCUACUACAAAACUGAGGCUUCUGUUUAAUACACCAAGUCACCGAGUAUUACAGCCAAAUGUAAGGUGUCGUGCUGCUGUUGGUUGUUGUAUCCUUGGUGGUUGGGUCAAUCACUAGUGUACCGAUGUCUCUUGGUGGUGGAUACCGAACCACAACGCCGCCGUCUUACUGCACGACAAAAACGUAUGCAACAACCGGAGUACUACACCACUGAGGCACAGUCGGAGUACUACACCACUGAGGCACAGUCGGAGUACUACACCACUGAGGCACCGUCGGAGUACUACACCGUCCCCAGCUACUACGCCACCAAGGGAAAAUGCUACACCGAAGUGCCCAAGCGCUACUCUGCCCCGAAUUACUACACAGCGGCUGCUCCUUCGUACUACGUUGGACCGAAAUACUACAAUGAGGUUCCAGUUACUACACUACAACGUUUACUACACUAUUGCCCUCAGCUACCAUACCGAGGCUCUGCUCCCAUACCGAUGCUCCCAAGUACUACAAUACCAAGGCACCCGAGUAUUAUAUCACUACUUAGGCAGUUCCGACCUAAUGCACCGAAGCUGCGAAGUAUUCCACUGCUCCGAGUUACUACACCAUCAAGGUACCCCUGGAUAUUACAUCUAAACCUACGGUUCUCCAGUUCAGUACAGGGAGGCUCUUAAAUACUAGAGUCGAAAUUUCUGAUUUAUUUAUUUGUGUACAGAUUUUUCGGUCAUUAACUAACAGUUACUAGUCACUGGGAAGUGUUGUUGAUCUUAAAUGAGAAAAUAAAUGUUUUAAUGGUAACCAUCUUUUAA